GUUUGUGCCUGCUUCUCUUUCAAAUGGAAUUAAUGGUGGUUUAAUGGGGUAUGAAAGGAUGUUUUACUGGAAACAAUGAGGAACAAUUGUCUAGCUCACGUUUCAUUUCACAGGUCAUUAUUGCAUUAAGAAGUAAAUCGACCAAGUCCGGUAAAUAACAGUCUGUGUUUUGCCCAGAGCUUCAAACCAACAAUCUUAGCAGUCACCAACUAAUAUCUUUGUCAUUUUUAACCCUUGAAGGGAUCUGCUGGGGGCUAAACAAUUAUAGUCUUCACCCACCCCUAGCAGCAGAUGAAACCUGUAGUUGCUGACUGAAGCAGAAAAGUCUAUUGGCUGCUAUAUCACCAAGUGACCAGGAAUAUCUCUACUGCAGUAUGUCAUGCUGAUAUGGCACAGGCAUUGCUCUUCACAUCCACAAGGACGUAUCCAUCAAGGUAUCCCUUCAGGAUGCUGAAGCAGAACAAUGCAGCCCAGUCUGGAUCAAGCCCAGAAGUUGCAAAGGUGGAUUAAAUAAAUGCAUGCAGAUAAUGUGUGAUGAGCACCAAGAGAUGUAACGACCCUCAGAGGUUUACCAGACUACUGAGAAAGCAUUCAGUAAUUCAUGUGUAUUCAUCAUGUUUGAAAAUCACCAGCUCUUGCAACUGACUGCGUAUUCAGCAGCUCACUAAUAGCAUAAUAUCGUGGGAUGGAUACAAGAGUGAAACAUAAUGGGAGCUGACAAGCUGGACAGGUCUCAGAAAUCUACACACAAACUACUGCCCAGAGCAAAAAGCAAAAAUAUAGACUAAAAUAAAAAUCCUGGCAGAAGACUGGAGGGGCUCUAAACAUUGCAGUGUGGGACACCUCCAAUUAUUUUUGACUGGCAAGUGGAGUCCUUGCUGGACUUUUUUCUACUUCAAGGCUUUCCUGACAUAGCCUCUGUAUUGAGUUCACUAGUUGUAAUAAGUAAACAGGCAUGCAGUUUCCAUUGGAUGUGGUAUGCUUAAACUGCUGCAACCAGUAGUGACUUAAGGUAACAGAUGAAGCUCUCCCCUCCCUCCUCCAUGUUCCCCCCCGCACAGAUGAUAUUCUCUCUGGGCAUGAGCAGUUCUGGCAGUGAUUUGACAUCUCACAGCCUGCCUGGUACUGAUCAACAUUUCUGAUGUGAUCUUGCAGGC